UCUGGCCUAUUUUUGAGUUUUGUAUUUUUAUUAUGGUCUGUGGCCCACAAGUUAGGGGGAAUUAUGGUCACGCCGUUAGCUAUCUCAGGCGCGGAUCAGGAAGAAGAUCAUGUGUUGAGCCGGUUCCAGUGAGAUCCUGGACUAACGCCGUCACACACCUCAUUAAAUGUAUCCAACCGUUGCAGCUACCAGGCUUCUUGCGUACGCUUAUCCACUUGAUAACUCCCCCCAUCCAGCCGAGCUCCCAGCCAGAUCCUCAGCUCAACCACAAAUCAAUCAGCCGAUUUUCACAACUCAAAGGCAGCAUAGACAUGUCUGCAUCUUCAUCUUCGACGGGGCGCGAUGAUAUCCUGCCCCUCGUUCCAUGCAAGGAUUGCAAGGCCCGGUAUACACCUGGAUUGCUCGCAGCGGAGUAAACGCCGGCCAUCGCUUCUACAAGUGCGUUAAUAGGGAUAAGGGGAUUUGUGGAUACAUGACGUCGAGCGAGGAGUAUCGGGCGGAGCUGAAUGCAGACACGCUUGCCACUGCUGAAGACUCGCCUCAUCAGGCCGCAUCUUACAUGCACCGGAGAGCCAGGGCAGGUGAAUCAAUGGAGGAAUGGAGCCGUGGAGUCGUGCUUGUGAGGAAUGGCCCCGAUGAGCACCCCGAAUGGAAAGGGCACGCUCGGUUGAGCACAGGAGGAAGAGCCUCGUCCACGUCAAGCGUCCUUAUUGCACUAGUUGCUGCCAUCUUGGUGGUUGUGGUGUUUAUGUUAGCAGUUCUAGUCAAGAUAGCGUAUCUGCUUAGCAGGUAGAAGAACUAGUUAGCGCAUCAUGUUCAUCAGUUAUCCUGUUCGUCAGUUAUCUGUGUGGUGCUAAGUUAAAUCCUUGUAAUCGAGCAUGCAUGAUAGCAAUAAAUCAGGUCCCUGGGUUUCAAUUUGA